ensembl:miRNA
CACUUCCCGUCCCCUCAGGCGAUGAAGCAGGCCUCAGCGGGCGGGUUGCAUCUGAGAGGGGACCUGGGGCCAAUCUGGGGGUGCUGUCUCUUGGACCUAAAUCUAGAUGUGGCCAGCCUUGCUCUUGCACCCUGGGGAACCGG